rnacentral:tRNA from 1 species
GAGGGUAUAGCUCAGUGGUAGAGUGCAUGCCUAGCAUGCACGAGGUCCUGGGUUCAAUUCCCAGUGCCUCCA